CUCACUCUCUCUCUCUCGGUCGGUGUUCCUGCCGGGCUGCUGCUGCUUUGCGCGCUGCGGGGCCACACUGCGACCGCACCGAGGAGGACGAGGAGAAAGCCGCGGAACCGAAAGGGGGGCCAGGCUGAGCCAGAGCGGCGGAGAGGCACGAUUUAAAAAAAGAAGAAGAAGAACCAGCGGAGGAGGUGAACACGCCGGAUAAUAAAAAAACAAUCGGCGGCAGCAGAAGGCGGAGACGCGUCACACCACGCUGUUCCUCCCUCCAUCUCUGAGUCCGUGCACGGGAAGUGAAGAAGAGGUGAAAAACGAAGAGGAGGACGAACAGGAAAAAAAACCUUGUUGGGGAAUCUCGGAGAGCAAAACGACGUCGGAAACCUCCCCCCUCCCCCCGCACCAGGGCCGAUUCUCCGUUUUCUAGCAGCCAGCUCGGCGCGGCCACACCAUGAAGGACCGUACGGCGGAACUGCGAAGUGCUAAGGACAGCGACGAUGAUGAGGAGGUGGUACAGGUCGACAGGGACCACUUCAUGGAUGAGUUCUUCGAACAGGUGGAGGAGAUCAGAGGCUGUAUAGAGAAGCUGUCGGAGGAUGUGGAGCAGGUCAAAAAGCAGCACAGCGCCAUCCUGGCCGCCCCGAACCCUGAUGAAAGUAAGACUCACAAACA